AUGGCUUCACCGGAGCCAUCGGCGGGCGGCGAUGCGGCCAGCCAGAGUGCUGCGGUGCAGCCGCUCCAGCUGCCAACGCCGGAGGAGAUCAAGGGGCAGGAGAUGAUGAACAACUGCGCCGUCCGGAGCGUCCUCAGUGGUGUCAUGGGGGGUGGUCUUGGUGUACUUAUGGGACUAUUUUUUGGAGCUUUGGAAAAUCCAAUAAUGUCAGAGGAGAUGACAGCAAGGCAACAAAUAGUCUACCAGGCAAAACAGAUGGGCAGGAAAAGUAUGAGCCAUGCUAAGACCUUUGCAGUAAUGGGCUUGAUUUUCUCUGCAGCUGAAUGCGUCGUAGAGAAGGCUCGGGCAAAGCAUGACAUUACCAAUUCGGCAGUAGCUGGCUGUGUCACAGGAGGGGCUUUAGCUGCAAAAGGUGGCCCUCAGGCCACAUGUAUCGGGUGUGUGGGUUUUGGUGCCUUCUCCGUGGCGAUUGAGAAGUUCAUGGAACGGCAUACUUGA
rnacentral:rRNA from 1 species